rnacentral:lncRNA from 1 species
GCGGCCAAUGUAGUCAGUCUGGGGACCCACCUCCCCCUUUCAGCUGAGCGCACACAACACAGCAUCCACGUGAGUCAGCUUCUUAAAGGCGAAGGCUUGGCCUGUCUAAUUGCGGCAGCUGCGAGACAUCGCACGUCAUUAGCGUCACCAGGUAGCGGCUGGAGCCGAGCUUCCUGAUACCUAGUGAGCCGCGGUGAUGACAAAUGAAAACAAUAAGCUGUUUCCUAGACAAACAGCUGCCUAGUUUCGCUCUGUCGCCCAGGCUGGAGUGCAGUGGCACAAUCUCGGUUCACUGCAACCUCUGCCUCCCGGGUUCAAGCAGUUCUCUUGCCUCAGCCUCCCAAGUAACUGGUACUACAGAGAAUUGAUACAAAAAAUGAUCAUGUGAAGAAUUUGCAUCUUCUGCAGAACUACCGGUAUCAGUCAGCAGUAGGAGAUUGUAUAAAUUCAGCCUGAGAUUCCAGAAUAUUCUGUGUAUUGACCACCACAGCAAGAAGAAAAAGUCCAUGUAGGACUGAAAUGGUCCUGUAGUUUUCACAGCACUUUCCCAAGCACUGUCUUAUGGUUUCUGCACAUCAACCCAGGAAAGCAGACAAAGAUGAGAUGAUGAAUCCUGCCUAACCAAUGAGGAAUCAGAGGCUAAGAGAUUCUAGCGCCUUACUCAUGCCACAGGGCUGGACCUCUUCCUAUGACAGCUUCUGUC